GACAGCUGUACUUCCCACAAAAGACUAUGCAAUUUUUUCCUCCCCACUAGAAAGAUGAGAAACAGUUAGCAACUAGGAUGUGGCUCAGUGGUAGAGCAUGUGUUAGCAGAAACAAAAGACCAGCACAAGGCAAAAAGGAGAAGGGCCAGCCUAGUUAGGGCAAUGAGAAGGCUGGACCUGGACACACACAAGGUCAUACCGUGACUUGAGCAGAGGAGGGCCUGAUUCCCCUUACAGUGCACCACUCAGAGUAACCUCAGCAGCAUCUUCGUGAGUCCUUCCUAAGAAAUGACUGAGGUUCAGGUAUGGAGGGGAACCUGAGUCCCAUUCCUCCUUUCUCCUGGCAUACCCAGGGUGCUUGGCAUUGG
rnacentral:lncRNA from 1 species